GAUGAACGCUGGCGGCGUGCCUAAUACAUGCAAGUCGAGCGAAGAGAGGAGGUACUUGUUCCUCUUGCGUGAGCGGCGGACGGGUGAGUAACACGUGGGUAACCUGCCUAUAAGAGGGGGAUAACUUCGGGAAACCGGAGCUAAUACCGGAUAAUAUAUUGAAACGCAAGGUUCAAUAUUGAAAGACGGAUUUGCAUUACCUAAUAAAGAGAUCCCGUUGGAUUUAGUAGUUGGGGAGGGAAAGGCCCUCCAAGGCGAACGUACAUAGCCGGCCUGGGAGGGGGGUCCGCCACCUUGGGACUGGGACACCGCCCCAACUCCCACGGGAGGCAGCAGGAGGGGAACUUCGGCAAUGGGCGGAAGUCUGACCGGGCCACGCCGCGUGAGUGGAGAAGGUUUUCGGGUCGUAAAACUCUGUUUGUAGGGAAGAACGUUGGUGGGAGUGGAAAGCUCAUCAAGUGACGGUAACUACCCAGAAAGGGACGGCUAACUACGUG
rnacentral:rRNA from 1 species